rnacentral:rRNA from 1 species
AUUGAACGCUGGCGGCAGGCCUAACACAUGCAAGUCGAACGAGUGGCGGACGGGUGAGUAAUGUCUGGGAAACUGCCUGAUGUAGGGGGAUAACUGCUGGAAACGGUAGCUAAUACCGCAUAACAUCAGUUGUGCCCAGAUGGGAUUAGCUUGUGGGUGGGGUAACGGCUCACCAAGGCGACGAUCCCUAGCUGGGCUGAGAGGGUGAACAGCCACACUGGAACUGAGACACGGUCCAGACUCCUACGGGAGGCAGCAGUGGGGAAUAUUGCGCAAUGGGCGCAAGCCUGAUGCAGCCAUGCCGCGUGUAUGAAGAAGGCCUUCGGGUUGUAAAGUACUUUCAGCGGGGAGGCGUUACCCGCAGAAGAAGCACCGGCUAACUACGUGCCAGCCGCCGCGGUAAUUC